CCUACGGGAGGCAGCAGUAGGGAAUAUUGGUCAAUGGACGAAAGUCUGAACCAGCCAUGCCGCGUGAAGGAUGAAGGCCCUCUGGGUUGUAAACUUCUUUUAUCUGGGACGAAAAAAGGGUAUUCUUACUCACUUGACGGUACCAGAGGAAUAAGCACCGGCUAACUCCGUGCCAGCAGCCGCGGUAAUACGGAGGGUGCAAGCGUUAUCCGGAUUCACUGGGUUUAAAGGGAGCGUAGGUGGGCUGAUAAGUCAGUGGUGAAAUCUCCGGGCUUAACCCGGAAACUGCCAUUGAUACUAUUAGUCUUGAAUUAUCUGGAGGUAAGCGGAAUAUGUCAUGUAGCGGUGAAAUGCUUAGAUAUGACAUAGAACACCAAUUGCGAAGGCAGCUUGCUACGGAUUGAUUGACACUGAGGCUCGAAAGCGUGGGGAUCAAACAGGAUUAGAUACCCUGGUAGUCCACGCCCUAAACGAUGGAUACUCGACAUCAGCGAUACACUGUUGUGUNUGUAGCGAAGACGAGUAAGUAGUCCACCGCGGAGUAACGUACGACGAGUUAGUAAGUUACGAAGAAGUUAGAGGCGNGAGAGNGCCGACGGACGACGACGAGGGAGGAGG
rnacentral:rRNA from 1 species